UACGAAGGGUGCAAACGUUGCUCGGAAUCAUUGGGCGUAAAGCGCACGUAGGCGGCCUCAAAAGUCGGAUGUGAAAUCCCGUGGCUCAACCAUGGACGUGCAUUCGAAACUGCGAAGGCUUGAGUAUGGAAGAGGGUCGCGGAAUUCCCGGUGUAGAGGUGGAAAUGACGUAGAUAUCGGGAGGAACACCUGUGGCGAAGGCGGGUAGCUGGGCCGACACUGACGCUGAUGCGCGAAAGCCAGGGGAGCGAACGGG
rnacentral:rRNA from 1 species